CAAUAGCGUAUAUUAAAGUUGUUGCAGUUAGAACGCUCGUAGUCGGAUUUCGGGGCGGGUCGACCGGUCUGCCGAUGGGUACGCACUGGUCGACGCGUCCUUCCUUCCGUAGACCGUCUCACUCUUAACUGAGCGGAGGCGGGAGACGGAACGUUUACUUUGAAAAAAUCAGAGUGUUUCAAGCAGGCAGCUCGCUCUUGCAUGGAUUAGCAUGGGAUAAUGAAAUAGGACUUUGGUGCUAUUUUGUUGGUUUCGAACACCGAAGUAAUGAUGAGAAGGGACAGUCAGGGGCACUCGUAUUCCGCCGAGAGAGGUGAAAUUCUCAGACCAGCGGAAGACGAACCACUGCGAAAGCAUUUGCCAGGGAUGUUUUCACUGA
rnacentral:rRNA from 1 species